AUAAACCCACUUCUCUCACCACCCUGUUAUCCAUGUCUUAGCUGUUUCCUUGUCAUUUUACCCACCCACGUGCAUGCUCCGGAAAUCUGGUCCUUGCACCCGAGACACCCAAUUCAUUCCCUCUGAGAUCAUUUCUCUUUUCGGACGAAUUUGGAUCAUCAGGAAUGCGCCAUAGCGACCAUGAGAAACCUGAUUUUUCAGUGAUUAUUUGAGUUUUGGG
rnacentral:lncRNA from 1 species